rnacentral:rRNA from 1 species
UACGUAGGGUGCGAGCGUUGUCCGGAAUUAUUGGGCGUAAAGGGCUCGUAGGCGGUUUGUCACGUCGGGAGUGAAAACACCGGGCUUAACUCUGUGCUUGCUUCCGAUACGGGCAGACUAGAGGCAUGCAGGGGAGAACGGAAUUCCUGGUGUAGCGGUGAAAUGCGCAGAUAUCAGGAGGAACACCGGUGGCGAAGGCGGUUCUCUGGGCAUGUCCUGACGCUGAGGAGCGAAAGUGUGGGGAGCGAACAGG